UUUUACAAUGGAGAGUUUGAUCCUGGCUCAGGAUGAACGCUAGCUACAGGCUUAACACAUGCAAGUCGAGGGGAAACGACAUCGAAAGCUUGCUUUUGAUGGGCGUCGACCGGCGCACGGGUGAGUAACGCGUAUCCAACCUGCCCACCACUUGGGGAUAACCUUGCGAAAGUAAGACUAAUACCCAAUGAUAUCUCUAGAAGACAUCUGAAAGAGAUUAAAGAUUUAUCGGUGAUGGAUGGGGAUGCGUCUGAUUAGCUUGUUGGCGGGGUAACGGCCCACCAAGGCAACGAUCAGUAGGGGUUCUGAGAGGAAGGUCCCCCACAUUGGAACUGAGACACGGUCCAAACUCCUACGGGAGGCAGCAGUGAGGAAUAUUGGUCAAUGGACGAGAGUCUGAACCAGCCAAGUAGCGUGCAGGAAGACGGCCCUAUGGGUUGUAAACUGCUUUUAUAAGGGAAUAAAGUGAGAGUCGUGACUCUUUUUGCAUGUACCUUAUGAAUAAGGACCGGCUAAUUCCGUGCCAGCAGCCGCGGUAAUACGGAAGGUCCGGGCGUUAUCCGGAUUUAUUGGGUUUAAAGGGAGCGUAGGCCGGAGAUUAAGCGUGUUGUGAAAUGUAGG
rnacentral:rRNA from 1 species